rnacentral:misc_RNA from 1 species
UUUGAGUUCGCGGGAGAGUAGGUUAUUGCCAGGGUUUUUGUUUUAUACUUUAAACAUUGAUUUUAUUUUUUAUGUUUUUAGAUGUUCAUGUUUUUGAAUGUUUUAUUCWMAUAAUAUAWAAAAUAAAAUAUAUAUUGACAUGGAUUARACAAAGAUAUAUAUUAUUCUAUGUUGYAUARACAAAUUGGCAAAAUAGAGAUGGAAGAUAAAAAUAUGGUCAAAGUAAUAAGAGUCUAUGGUGAAUGYSUAGGAGCUUUAAGGCGAAGAAGGUCGUGGUAAGCUGCGAAAAGCUUGGGGGAGAAGCAAACAUUUAUUGAUCCCAAGAUUACCGAAUGGAGUAAUCCAGCUAGCAAGAUGCUAGCUAUCUAUUAUCUAAAUAAUAGAGGCGAUACCAGGGGAAGUGAACCAUCUAAGUACCCUGAAACAG